AUUUUUUUUUAUGGAAAAUAAUUACAUCUGUGAUUGGAAUAAUGAUCUUAGUGUUGUGUUUCAUAGAGCAUUAAUCAAAAUAACGUUGUUGUUUUUUUUAAUAUUGUGCAGAGACUUUGGACUACACAUCAUGCAGAAGUGAGAGCGGUCAGCAUCAGGACCGAGGUCAGCAGAGUCCACAGAAGCAAGACUGGCGGGAGAUCAACGCCGCCGUGGCCUUGACCAGCCUGGCCCAAGGGCAGAACUGCAGGGCGGACAUCAAGACGGCGCCCGGUGCUGCAGUGGGGCUGAGCUGCGGCGUCUCCAGGACCCCCGCCGCCAUCGCCGCCGUGCCGGGACGGAGCUCCACGCUCACCAGCCGCAUCAUCCAGAGGUCGUCCCACAUCUCCGAGGUGCAGACUAUCAAGGUGGCCUGUGGGAAUCAAACCUGAGGAUAAUAACACGUGCCUUUACAGACUUUGCAGUGACGAGGCUGCUUGUAAAAUAUGAAGGAAAAAAAAAAUGUACCUUCUGUUUUGUUUUUUUGCAAUGUUAACUACGUUGGGAUUUUAAGUUAACUUCCGUGAGACUGGAUCAUCUUCCAAUGCCUUCAUUUGACAGCAACUUUACAAUAAAGUCAAUGUGAAAACUUA